AUUGAACGCUGGCGGCAGGCCUAACACAUGCAAGUCGAACGGUAACAGGAAGCAGCUUGCUGCUUCGCUGACGAGUGGCGGACGGGUGAGUAAUGUCUGGGAAACUGCCUGAUGGAGGGGGAUAACUACUGGAAACGGUAGCUAAUACCGCAUAACGUCGCAAGACCAAAGAGGGGGACCUUAGGGCCUCUUGCCAUCGGAUGUGCCCAGAUGGGAUUAGCUAGUAGGUGGGGUAACGGCUCACCUUGGCGACGAUCCCUAGCUGGUCUGAGAGGAUGACCAGCCACACUGGAACUGAGACACGGUCCAGACUCCUACGGGAGGCAGCAGUGGGGAAUAUUGCACAAUGGGCGCAAGCCUGAUGCAGCCAUGCCGCGUGUAUGAAGAAGGCCUUCGGGUUGUAAAGUACUUUCAGCGGGGAGGAAGGGAGUAAAGUUAAUACCUUUGCUCAUUGACGUUACCCGCAGAAGAAGCACCGGCUAACUCCGUG
rnacentral:rRNA from 1 species